UACGGAGGGUGCGAGCGUUGUCCGGAAUCACUGGGCGUAAAGGGCGCGUAGGCGGCUUCUCAAGCGUGUGGUGAAAGUCCGGGGCUCAACCCCGGAUCGGCCGUGCGGACUGGGGAGCUCGAGUUCUGUAGAGGCGGGUGGAAUUCCGGGUGUAGCGGUGGAAUGCGUAGAGAUCCGGAGGAACACCGGUGGCGAAGGCGGCCCGCUGGGCAGAGACUGACGCUGAGGCGCGACAGCGUGGGGAGCAAACAGG
rnacentral:rRNA from 1 species